GAUGAACGCUGGAGGAGCGCAUAACACAAGUAAGUCGAACGGAGUGGCGAACGGCUGAGUAACACGUGGGCAACCUGCCCUGCUGUUGGGGAGAGCCACGGGAAACCGGGAUAAUACCCGAUAGAGAAGGAUGGCCCGCGGCCGGAUAGCUUGUUGGUGGUGUAGAGGCCUGCCAAGGCAAUGAUGGGUAGCUGGGUUGAGAGACCGACCAGCCAGGUUGGGACUGAGACACCGCCCAGACUCCUACGGGAGGCAGCAGUGGGGAAUCCUGCACAAUGGGCGAAAGCCUGAUGCAGCGACGCCGCGUGCGGGACGAAGGCCUUCGGGUUGUAAGCCGCUUUCAGCAGGGACGCGGUACCUGCAGAAGAACCCCCGGCCAACUACGUGUCAGCAGCCGCGGUAAUAC
rnacentral:rRNA from 1 species